UGUGUGUGUGUGUGUAUGGGUGGGGGGGUUAUUGCAAUGUAUUAUUUUCCAUUAAGAGGACUGCACAACGAAGUACAUUUAAAAGCUGACGUAAACGACCCGAAAACAUCCUUAUAUCUGUAACGAUUCUCUUUCCUUCCUUCUGCAGCUGAAAACAAAGUCCAGCGAUAAUGGAAAAGCCCAAAAAACAUCCGGAGCUUUCCUUGAAAUUAAACUUUUAUUCCCUUCACUAGAUGCACAGAUGUUCUUCUGAUCCUCUAAACAUCUUGGAAAAAAGAAUUACUCUCCUGUUGACGACGACUGUAAAGAAAUCAAAGAGGUGGUAACUUUGCAUUUUUCUGUGUUUAAAAAUUUUGAUAAAUCAAGUAUCUAAAUGAAAUCUGUGGCAAAUUGUUGUUUUUUUUAAAAGGGAGCAUUUCCUCUGAUGUGAGGGAGGAUAGAAUCUAAUACAGUUGCUUUAUAUUAAAAUCAAAUGAAUUCAUUUUAAUUGAAAGUUUGCUAAUAAGAAAUUGGUGGCACAUUUAAAAAACAAUUCUAAGGAUGUAAAUGUAAAACUCUAUUGGGAAUUCUGAGAUAGUAAACUUCUGUGACCAUAGUUAUGGGUCAACAUUGUUUUUUUGUCAAUGACACCCUUCCUUUAAUAAGGUAAACUAAACAUUUUGCUUUUUACAGGGAAGGUUAGAGAAUCAUCCUGAAACGUCGCAUUGAUCGUUGGACACACUAAACUUACGGCUGUCUGACUCUGUACUGUAAAACUACUACUUUGGAAUCCAGCGUCCUGCGACGCCUGGAUCCCUACGACUACUGAUGCAGGCGACUUCAGGUCGACUGUAAAAAUCACUUUAACACAUUUCUCCUCUGGUCAGCGUUUGAACUGAAGGUGAAUUUCCUGGACAAGAACAGAAGCAGAAAGUCGAGCUCUUAGCGCUUUGUGUUCCUCAGGAGCAGAAGUCUGAUGGAUGUUUGUGAACACUUGGUUUACAAAUGCCUUGCAUACUUGAUAUUUGUCAUUAAAAAAACUGAAAAAAA